rnacentral:rRNA from 1 species
CACGGUGUGAUUCAUUACUGGGUUGUAGUCGUAACAAGGUAGCCGUAGGGGAACCUGCGGGUGGAUCACCUCAUUA